rnacentral:lncRNA from 1 species
GAAAGCCAUAGGCCCCAGUGGGGAAGCACCUGUUACUGUUUUGUUAAGUGGAUGAUGUGAUCACACCUGUCAAAUUGCCUUCUAAACCUUUAUGCUUACACCCAUAGAGUACAGAUGCUGGCCUUGGUUGUGGAGGAACACUUGACAGUGGGUGGUGGAGAGACUCAUAACUGGCUAAACUACUGAAAACAAAUGAUACAACUGCCAGGCUGCACAACAGUAAGAGAAAGAUGCUGGACCAAAGAGGACAUCGACACUGCUUGCCCAUCCCAGUGUUCUUACAUGGAUGCAAUCAAUGAGGAUUCUAAACCAAGGCGUUAUCCCCAGCAGCUUGGAGUUUCUCUAUUUCUUUGUUUGACUUUAUAAUGGCAUACAUUUCAUAAAAGUGACAUACUAAAUGAUCUCUGAUAUUAUGUACAGGAUGGCACGAAGUGGACAUUUAAAGGCUCUUUGGAAAGUCAGUUGGAUGGUGUUUUGCUGGGGCAAACACGUGAAGGAACAUUUAGCUGAAGUGGACACAGGUGAAAGGAUGUUCUGCUAAAGCAAGAACAUGAAAGGACACGUGAUGGCAGAUUCUUUGCUAACAACAUGCAUGUAUUAGUUCAUCUUACAUUACGUAGGUGAGCUGCAUUUGUGGGGACUCCAUAGAGAGAAAUGCACCAAAAAACUUCGAGUAAUGUGUUGCAGUUUCUUGCCACUUCCUCGGACGUGGGCUGAUUGGCAGAGUGAUGUUAGCUGAGACAGACACUCAUACCGAGGCAAAACUGGUGGAGGACAAGUGAUGGAUAUAAUAAUAUCUACAGACAGUUAUUUAUUUUAUUAAUGGCUCAUCUAAGGGUAUAGGUUGGAUUCAUGAUCCAGAUAUUCAUCAAUCUAUUAAUAUUUCCUUUUCCUCAGCCCAACAGGUGAAGCUGCCUAUUACAGUUAAUUCAUAAGCCUUUAAAUAUUGUUUCAGAUUCUGCUUAUGUUGUAGGAUUAUUUCCAGCAUUAGACUCGCACAUUCUAACCUCUCUGGUUUUAUUGCAGAAGGAAAUAAGCAAGCUAGUGCAUUAACCUGUCCUAGUUUUACUUCUGCAGAAGAAAAUUGGGAAGGGAUAUGCAUCUGUCAUUGUAGAUGGGUCUGCUGAAACACAAAUUCCUCUUUGGCUCCUCUGGCCCUUGGCCAUUAAGGACAAUAGCGGAGGGCAAGGAGACAGUGGAAGUCAGCAGAAAGAUAGCAAACCUCCAGCUAAUGGGCAAAAGGAGAUACAGACCACAUCAUCAGAAGUCAAGUCUGCCCACCUGGGGCCAAGUUAAGGCCAUGUGCACCAAGAGAGAAGUUAUUCUAUGAAACACACAGGACACCAUGUCACCUGAAAAUCUUUUUCUGCUUUGAUCUGUGCAUCUGUAGUGAGUGCAUUGAACCUGUGUAAUGUAUUAUGUGACUCAUCUUCCUAUGCUUCAACUUGUAGAUUGAAUGAAUGCAGCUCCUGUUAUCUUUACUAAUGACUCUGCUUAUGACUGGACCUGGGGACCAUAAUAGACUCAUUCAUUUCACAUGGAGAAGGGACUGCAUUUAAUUUUUCCUUGGGAUUUAAAUCACUUCCUAUUUGCAUAGGACAUAAUAACAUUUGUAUUCUAAUUAAAGGAAAAUAUGGGCUUGUGUUCUUUAAGAUACCAGAGCUAGUAAUUAAAUGACAGAUUUAUCUACAACAUCUCAAACCAAAACCACUCUGGAUGGAUAUGUGUUUUAAAAUAAAGAAGGAGGAGAUGUCAGAAUAUGGUCCAAGAAUGGGAUGUGUGAGGAGAAUCCUGAGUAUUUCUGAGAAAAUUUCAAGAAAAUAAUACACGAGUCUUAUGUCCUCAGUUUCUUUAGACCAUGGAAUUGUUCUUGGAAUGUGAUUUUUGUGCUCCACCCAGCUAUGGUGGAUAGGAGUGAGUUUGCUUCAGAUUGUUUGCCAUAACUGGUUAUUGUUUGUUUAUAUGUCUCUAUGGAAAAACAUGCUUUUGCCCCAUGCAGCUUAUCUUUGUAAUUGUACACUUUACUCAUGCGACUCUUCUUAACUCUUAGAACAUAAAUUUUUGGAUUCUCUGAAUAAAGUUG